rnacentral:tRNA from 2 species
CGGGGUGUAGCGCAGCUUGGCAGCGCGCUUCGUUCGGGACGAAGAGGCCGCCGGUUCAAAUCCGGCCACCCCGACCA